CAGUCGAGCGGACAGAAGGGAGCUUGCUCCCGGAUGUUAGCGGCGGACGGGUGAGUAACACGUGGGUAACCUGCCUGUAAGACUGGGAUAACUCCGGGAAACCGGAGCUAAUACCGGAUAGUUCCUUGAACCGCAUGGUUCAAGGAUGAAAGACGGUUUCGGCUGUCACUUACAGAUGGACCCGCGGCGCAUUAGCUAGUUGGUGGGGUAAUGGCUCACCAAGGCGACGAUGCGUAGCCGACCUGAGAGGGUGAUCGGCCACACUGGGACUGAGACACGGCCCAGACUCCUACGGGAGGCAGCAGUAGGGAAUCUUCCGCAAUGGACGAAAGUCUGACGGAGCAACGCCGCGUGAGUGAUGAAGGUUUUCGGAUCGUAAAGCUCUGUUGUUAGGGAAGAACAAGUGCGAGAGUAACUGCUCGCACCUUGACGGUACCUAACCAGAAAGCCACGGCUAACUACGUGCCAGCAGCCGCGGUAAUACGUAGGUGGCAAGCGUUGUCCGGAAUUAUUGGGCGUAAAGGGCUCGCAGGCGGUUUCUUAAGUCUGAUGUGAAAGCCCCCGGCUCAACCGGGGAGGGUCAUUGGAAACUGGGAAACUUGAGUGCAGAAGAGGAGAGUGGAAUUCCACGUGUAGCGGUGAAAUGCGUAGAGAUGUGGAGGAACACCAGUGGCGAAGGCGACUCUCUGGUCUGUAACUGACGCUGAGGAGCGAA
rnacentral:rRNA from 1 species